rnacentral:rRNA from 1 species
UGCAGUCGAGCGGACAGAAGGGAGCUUGCUCCCGGAUGUUAGCGGCGGACGGGUGAGUAACACGUGGGUAACCUGCCUGUAAGACUGGGAUAACUCCGGGAAACCGGAGCUAAUACCGGAUAGUUCCUUGAACCGCAUGGUUCAAGGAUGAAAGACGGUUUCGGCUGUCACUUACAGAUGGACCCGCGGCGCAUUAGCUAGUUGGUGAGGUAACGGCUCACCAAGGCGACGAUGCGUAGCCGACCUGAGAGGGUGAUCGGCCACACUGGGACUGAGACACGGCCCAGACUCCUACGGGAGGCAGCAGUAGGGAAUCUUCCGCAAUGGACGAAAGUCUGACGGAGCAACGCCGCGUGAGUGAUGAAGGUUUUCGGAUCGUAAAGCUCUGUUGUUAGGGAAGAACAAGUGCAAGAGUAACUGCUUGCACCUUGACGGUACCUAACCAGAAAGCCACGGCUAACUACGUGCCAGCAGCCGCGGUAAUACGUAGGUGGCAAGCGUUGUCCGGAAUUAUUGGGCGUAAAGGGCUCGCAGGCGGUUUCUUAAGUCUGAUGUGAAAGCCCCCGGCUCAACCGGGGAGGGUCAUUGGAAACUGGGAAACUUGAGUGCAGAAGAGGAGAGUGGAAUUCCACGUGUAGCGGUGAAAUGCGUAGAGAUGUGGAGGAACACCAGUGGCGAAGGCGACUCUCUGGUCUGUAACUGACGCUGAGGAGCGAAAGCGUGGGGAGCGAACAGGAUUAGAUACCCUGGUAGUCCACGCCGUAAACGAUGAGUGCUAAGU